rnacentral:misc_RNA from 1 species
GAUGAUAGUUUUUUUUUCCCCAAGUAAAAUUAUCAAACUCAUCAUGUAACUUGAAUCUGGUUCCCAUUUUGAAUAUAGCAAUCAGAAGUGAGAAAAAAACUAUCAUCUUACAAUAUAUGCAACAAAUUCACUCCAUAUGAGUAUCAUGUUCACUGAAGAGGAGAGGGAGGAGGGGAUGGGGGUGAGAAAUAAACAGAACAAUAAUCUGCAACAAGUGUGGCCAUCAGUCAGAGAACAGAUGGCUCAUCUAUUCACAGUUGAUGCACAUGCAGAUAAACUCAUUAAUGAAGCUGCAGUUACCUUGAUAGUUAUUGCAUGUCUUCUGCUUGCGAUUGAUUUUUCAUGGAUCCAUUUUUACCCACCAAAUGAAAGCCACUAACCAAUGAAACUCAGUCAACCACUAUCCCCAGGCUAAUAAUAUGGUCUGGAAGAACAUUUUGCCAGCUGGCAAAAGUAACAUCUUCUUUACCUUCCACAAAGACAAGAGUAUCCUUUUCAAUCCACAACUCCAGUCACAUAUCAGAGACAGACCAAAGAUAAGCUUCCCUUUCUGUAGCUCGUUUUUCAUUUAGCCUUCGGAACAUUUUUUUCUCAAAUCCAUUACUUCGAUCAACCCCAUCCCAGUGUCUUCCUGGCUUUAUCCCAUAUCGAUUGGGUGCAGCAUCUAAUCCUCUUUUUAUCCAGCUGUGAUUGGGAAUCUCCUGAGGAAUUAUAAACCCCGAUUCCUUCAUCUUCUCACUAUCUCCAAGAUCUGCAAGAACAGGUCCAGAAUGCUUUUUCUUUACCAAAUGAGCCAUAGGAUCACCAAAUCUUACUCUCUCCUUCAGCAUUUUGUCAAGAUCAGGAUCAUCUCUGGUUCGUGCAAAUGGUUUGUCCUUCUCUUGUUCUAAUUCUUGCAGCCUCGCCUCAGCAUCUCGCUUUUGAGCCAAGCCCUUACCCCACUCUAACUUCUUCUCCUUAGGCUUUUCCUCAACUUUUUGUUUUGAUUUCAAAUACUCCUCCUUCGAUAUUCGCUGUCCUUUCUUAUCACGAAAUAUAGGUUCAGCACCCCGACCACUCAAAGAAGGAUCCAUCUGUUCAAACCUCAAUAAAUCAUCCCUCUUAGUUUUAGAUAUCUCUUGCAUGAUAUCGUGGCCAGUAAUCAAACCAGUUUUUGGUCGCCCCUUUGAGGAAACAGGAUCAGAUGGCUCCUGGUUUUUCCUUGUUAGCGAAAUGUCUUGAUUCAAAGAUGCAUGUGAGCUACCAUUCACAGUUGUACUUGAAUGCCUAGGCAAAUGCUGAGGAGAAAAAUCUGGUGAUCCUGAUUGCUCAACAUUCAUUCUGUUUUUCCGUGGGGGUGAAAGAUCUGACCCUAGGGAAGUACGUGCACCACCAUGAGAAGACCUAUGAUCAGCUCGCCUUGGAUGAGAUAUACCUGACUCAGGUACUUCAGAUUUCCUCCUUUCAGAAGUCUGAGCAUGAGAUCGGCGAGGAGGGGACAUAUCAGAAUUUUGGACAGGUUCAGGAGAUGAAGCAUAAUGACGUCUACGCUGUUGUCGUGGAGGAGACAAAUCAGCAUCUUUUCUUUCAGUAAAUUCAGUUAGUGGUGAAGAUGUGUUGUUCCUUGCCCCUGGCCUACGGCGUGGUGACAAAUCAGCAUGUGGACUGCCAGAAUAUUUGUGUUUUGUAUCAGACCCAGGAGAUGGGGAAUAAUGACGUUUUCGUCGCUGCCGAGGUGACAAGUCAACAACUUCUCUCGAGGACGGCUUCAAGGAUGGGUCUGGUGAAGGAGUAUCAUUUCGAGCCCUUUGCUUACGAGGAGGUGACAAAUCAGAAUUCAGAUCAGUCAAGUGUGCAGACCUUGUAUCAGAUUCAGGUGAUGGAGUAUGGUGGUGCGUCCGCUGCUGCCGUGGAGAUGAGAAAUCUGCUUCUAUCCUACCAGCAUCCACAGUCCUCUCUAAAGGCUCAGGUGACGGUGUGUCAUACCUCUGUCUACGGGGUGGAGACAUAUCAGAAUUUUGAUCAGUGGCAAUGGCAUGUUUAGGAGAGAGUGAAAUCCAUCCACUUCCAUCCUCAGCAAUUGUAUUAUAAGGGCGUCUGGAUCUAAGUUGCUCCAGCCUCUUCAUCCGCUUAACUUCUAUGUCUUCUUCAACUUGAGGUUUUUCAUCUGGAGAAUCAUUGUCUUCUUCUUCCUCAAGUUUUACUGGCCUCUGCCAAACAGGAUCUUCAUCCACAACCAAAACACCCGGCCCAUCAGUUUUAACUUUCUUCUUCUUCCUUUUCUUUUUCUUCUCUUCUUCAUUGUUAGUUUCAUAGCGUUUCAAAUAUUCUUUUAAGGACUUGGUUCCUGAAGCUUCAGCCGCCAUAGUUUAGAAUUGAUACCCUCCCCCAAUUCCUCACUCACACUAAAUGGCAACGUAUAGAGAAAGGGGAGAGGGAUAGGCAACUACUUAGGGCUUCAAAUUGGUGAACAAAACCGACGGCGUCGGUGAUCGAGAACGGCAAUGGUGAAUGAACAGCGAUGCCUAUAUGAAGGAUAACUGUAAGCCGGCGAAAGAAAGACACGAUGACGGCUAAGGAGAACGGCAAGACGACUAUGAAGGGAACAACGGUGGUGGAGUCAGAGCUGUGCGGCAAUUUAAGAGAGAAAAAAGUAGAAUCG